UCUAUUUAAUUUUUUCUUUCAGCUUUUUUUCUGGAAAUAAAAUCUUCCACAUAAGAAGACAUACCUUCGAUAAUCUCGAAAAGUUGUCUUUUAUAGAUUUGAGUUACAACAGGAUUAUUCGCAUGGAUGAAAAAACAUUUCAUUCGCUUCCAUCCCUUCAUACUUUGCGACUCUAUAUGAAUUUUAUCAAGGACAUUGAAAAGGAAACAUGGAUUGAUGUGGACAGAUUGAAAUUCCUG